rnacentral:snoRNA from 7 species
GGCCUGAUGCCACGUCUCUGGUAGCUACAUGCUUUGACCAGAGAUGCUAUGAUCAGGCCGAUACAAAAGUCGUUUCACAUGUUGAUAGGAACCUGGGGACGGCUUCUCCAUCUGUCCCACAGAGCCGGUUUCUGUGAUCACAUUC